rnacentral:rRNA from 1 species
GACGUAGGGCGCGAGCGUUGUCCGGAAUUAUUGGGCGUAAAGGGCUCGUAGGCGGUUUGUCGCGUCGGGAGUGAAAAUCCAGGGCUUAACUCUGGACUGGCUUCCGAUACGGGCAGACUAGAGGUAUGCAGGGGAGAACGGAAUUCCUGGUGUAGCGGUGAAAUGCGCAGAUAUCAGGAGGAACACCGGUGGCGAAGGCGGAUCUCUGGGCCUUACCUGACGCUCAGGCGCGAAGGCUAGGGGAGCGAACAGG